rnacentral:lncRNA from 1 species
UGCUCAUACGGUCAGCAAUACCAGGGAACAUAGUUGAACCACCACUAAGAACAAUGUUGCCGUACAGAUCCUUUCUGAUAUCCACAUCACACUUCAUGAUAGAGUUGUAGGUGGUCUCGUGAAUUCCAGCAGCUUCCAUUCCGAUCAUUGAUGGUUGGAAAAGGACUUCUGGGCAACGGAACCUCUCAGCUCCAAUUGUGAUAACUUGUCCAUCAGGAAGUUCAUAGUUUUUCUCAAUUGAAGAACUGCUCUUUGCAGUCUCAAGUUCUUGUUCAUAAUCCAAGGCAACAUAUGCAAGCUUCUCCUUUAUGU